AUUGAACGCUGGCGGCAGGCUUAACACAUGCAAGUCGAGCGAGCGGCGGACGGGUGAGUAAUGUCAGGGAAACUGCCUGAUGGAGGGGGAUAACUACUGGAAACGGUAGCUAACACCGCAUACCAUCAGAUGGGCCCAGAUGGGAUUAGCUAGUAGGUGGGGGAAUGGCUCACCUAGGCGACGAUCCCGAGCUGGUCUGAGAGGACGACCAGCCACACUGGAACUGAGACACGGGCCAAACGCCGACGGGAGGCAGCGGUGGGGAAUAUUGCACAAUGGGCACAAGCCUGAUGCAGCCAUGCCGCGUGUGUGAAGAAGGCCUUCGGGUUGUAGAGCACUUUCAGCGAGGAGGCGUUACUCGCAGAAGAAGCACCGGCGAACUCCGUGCCAGCAGCCGCGGUAAUAC
rnacentral:rRNA from 1 species